GAUGAACGCUGGCGGCGUGCCUAAUACAUGCAAGUCGAACGAACGGACGAGAAGUUUGCUUCUCUGAUGUUAUCGGCGGACGGGUAAGUAACACGUGGAUAACCUAUCUAUAAGACUGGGAUAACUUCGGGAAACCGGAGCUAAUACCGGAUAAUAUUUUGAACUGCAUGGUUCAAACGUUAAAGGCGGUCUUGCUGUCACUUAUAGAUGGUUCCGAGCUGCAUUAGCUAGUUGGUAAGGUAGUGGCUUACCAAGGCAACGGUGCAUAGCCGACCUGAGAGGGUGAUCGGCCACACUGGAACUGAGACACGGUCCAGACUCAGACGGGAAGCAGCGGUAGGGAAUGUUACGCAAUGGGCGAAAGCCUGACGGAGCAGCGCCGCGUGAGUGAUGAAGGUCUUCGGAUCGUAGAACUCUGUUAUUAGGGAAGGAGAGAAGGGUAAGUGACUGUGCACAUCUUGACGGUAGCGAAAGAGAAAGCCACGGCUAACUACGUG
rnacentral:rRNA from 1 species